GUCGAGCAGUGCGGUGAUGGACCCUCCUGCUCCAGAAGCACCGCCUCUUGUUAUCAGGAAGAGGAGAGAGUCUGGCGGUGCAGCUAUUGUUCCUCCCGUUUUGGAAGUGACACCCACUGUUGUUCUGAGGCAUCAAGGUGUGCAAGACAAGAAGGAUACCCAGGGGCUGUUCAACAAUGUGAUAGAAGAAACUGCGAAACAGCUGGUUGAAGCUAGGAAGAGCAAGGUGAAGGCUCUGGUGGGCGCUUUCGAGACUGUCAUCUCCCUUCAGGAAAAAUAGGCCCAGAGGUAUGAUGUGCG
rnacentral:misc_RNA from 1 species